rnacentral:rRNA from 1 species
GACGAACGCUGGCGGCGUGCUUAACACAUGCAAGUCGAACGGAAAGGCCCUGCUUUUGUGGGGUGCUCGAGUGGCGAACGGGUGAGUAACACGUGAGUAACCUGCCCUUGACUUUGGGAUAACUUCAGGAAACUGGGGCUAAUACCGGAUAGGAGCUCCUGCUGCAUGGUGGGGGUUGGAAAGUUUCGGCGGUUGGGGAUGGACUCGCGGCUUAUCAGCUUGUUGGUGGGGUAGUGGCUUACCAAGGCUUUGACGGGUAGCCGGCCUGAGAGGGUGACCGGCCACCUUGGGACUGAGAUACGGACCAGACUCCUACGGGAGGCAGCAGUGGGGAAUAUUGCCCAAUGGGCGGAAGCCUGAUGCAGCAACGCCGCGUGCGGGAUGACGGCCUUCGGGUUGUAAACCGCUUUCGCCUGUGACGAAGCGUGAGUGACGGUAAUGGGUAAAGAAGCACCGGCUAACUACGUG